ensembl:snRNA U6 U6 spliceosomal RNA
GUGCUUGUCUCAGGAGCACAUAUACUAAAAUUGAAACAAUCCAGAGAAGAUUAGCAUGGUCCCUGCCCAAGAAUGACACACAAAUUUGUGAAGCAUUCCAUAUUUUG